rnacentral:tRNA from 1 species
ACCGUUUUGGCGGAUAAGCGCGUAAGGUUUAGGACUUUAAUAAGAUUAAUAAUCAAAUGGUAU